AUAUUUCAGAGUCACAAUAGAGUUAUUCCCCAGAGGAAAAUUACUCUGCUGCCAGAGCCAGGUGGUCAAACCAUUUCUGCCAAAACAUGGCUGUUGUUGCACUUCGCUGCAGAUAAACACCGUUGGUUUACUUUCAGCUGCGGCUUUUCAUUCUCAAUAUAACUGUCGCUAUCAGUUAACCAGUAGACAGGACAGACUGUUGGCCAGUCAACACUUUUCUCUUUGCAGCUGUCACCCUAAUUUCAACAAAAGAAAAAUGAAAAAUAAAAUUCAUUUCCUGUUCUGGAUGUCCCUGAAUACUCUGUCAUGGAUGAACAUGUGCAACGGCGUGCCGGUGGCAGUGAAAGCAGGACAGAGAGCCACCCUCACCUGUCCACUGAGGACUGACAGCCACACGCAAGUCAUCAGCUGGUACAGGCAGAGCCGCGGCCUCGGGCCCCAGUUUGUCCUCAGCUACCUGGUUCACAACGCCACCCACCUUUUCUAUGGCCGGGGAUUAAACUCCAGUCAUUUUGCCGUUCGGGGCAGCGAAGGCAGGACAGUGCUCCAGCAGCUAGAGAUCACCACGGCAACAAGAAACGAUACAGCUGUCUAUUAUUGUGGUGUCUCAUUUUAAACAACCAAAAGACCAAGAAAACAUCAAUACAAAAGCCUUUUUUUGUGUUUCUUAUUAAAAUGUGUGCUGAAAAAAAAAUCCAUUUGAAUUGUAACAAAAAUUCUUGUUUUGUUUAUAUGACAUAAAAAUGCACAAAAACUGGUGUAAUGUUCA